AUACGUAGGUGACAAGCGUUAUCCGGAUUUACUGGGUGUAAAGGGCGCGUAGGCGGGAUGGCAAGUCAGAUGUGAAAUCUCCGGGCUCAACCCGGAAACUGCAUUUGAAACUGUCGUUCUUGAGUAUCGGAGAGGCAAGCGGAAUUCCUAGUGUAGCGGUGAAAUGCGUAGAUAUUAGGAGGAACACCAGUGGCGAAGGCGACUUACUGGACUGUAACUGACGCUGAGGCGCGAAAGUGUGGGGAGCAAACAGGAUUAGAUACCCUGGUAGUCCACACUGUAAACGAUGAAUGCUAGGUGUAGGGGGUAUCGACCCCUUCUGUGCCGCAGUCAACACAAUAAGCAUUCCGCCUGGGGAGUACGGCCGCAAGGUUGAAACUCAAAUGAAUUGACGGGG
rnacentral:rRNA from 1 species